GAUCCUGGCUCAGGACGAACGCUGGCGGCGUGCUUAACACAUGCAAGUCGAACGAGAAUCACUGGAAGGAGUUUUCGGACAACGGAAGGUGAGGACAGUGGCGGACGGGUGAGUAACGCGUGAGGAACCCGCCUUUCAGAGGGGGACAACAGUUGGAAACGACUGCUAAUACCGCAUGACACAUAGGGAUCGCAUGGUUUUUAUGUCAAAGAUUUAUCGCUGAAAGAUGGCCUCGCGUCUGAUUAG
rnacentral:rRNA from 1 species